AUGCCUCUCUCCGAAUUCCAUCGGCCGAUGACAAAGGAUAAGCCGGAAGCCACGCCAUCAAGAGUGAACAAUUGCUCGUCUGAUCUAUUCUCCAUGCCUGAUCCCGACUUUGCCGAGCUACUGUGGGAGAACGGCCAGGUUGUGAUGCAGGGUCAUUCCAGUAGGCCUAAGAAGAGCUCCUUCCCUACUAGUUUUUCUUCCCAUGCUUCUGGAGUUGAAGAGAAGGAUCACAGAGAUGUCGAUGUUCCAAAGACUUCAAGGUAUUAUGCAAUGGACCCAAUGAUUAAUGACUUCUCGCCGUCGAGGCCUUCUGCCGACGUUGGUGUCAAUGCUCAAGAUGAUGAUAUGGUCCCAUGGAUCAAUUACCCAACUGAGGAACCUCUCCCGGAUGAUACUCUUCAGAACGAUUACUGCUUGGAGUUCUUGAAUGAAUUCAUGGGGGCCAAUCUGAAUGCUCAUUCUGCCUCCAGCAAACCCAUGCCUGCCGACAGAAGCAGUGGCUUGGGCCAACAUGCUCCAAAAGCACUUACAGAGAGUAAAAGUUCAGAGCCUAGUAGAGUGAGGACCAGCCAAUUGUUUCAAAUGUUACAGCAUUCCCAGAGUUCAGCUCCAAGUUCCAAAUCAGGAGGGAUGGAUAAAGGGAUCGGUGAUGGUGCUAGAACCCUUUUGCAGAGCAAAAAUCCUGCAGGUCCCAAGCCACUGCAGCUGAAUGGUAGUGGCAUGCUGAAUUUCUCCCAUUUUUCAAGACCUGCUAUGCUGGCAAAGGCCAAUCUCCAUGGUGUUGACAGACCGAGGAGCAAUGAGAAGCUGUCCGCUCCUUCGAAUAGCAAUCCUGUGGAGUCGACAUUGAUGGAAUCGACCAGCUGUUUUCAGGGUGCUGCUGGGGUUCGAGGCAGAUCAACUUCAGGUCCUCACAAGAUGGAGUUGCAGUCCUCUGCCAAGACUCCCCAAGAGGUGAUCUCUGCCGAGCAUUCGCAGGCUAUCUGUCAACAAGAUGCUUCAAGGAAGAAUAUCCCAAAUAUCCUUACUAAUAAUUGUAGUAGACUCCCCGAUCAGCUCGCGAGCUCGAGUAUCAUGGCAAGUGUGGCCUUAAGAAGGCAGGAAACUGAAAAGGCUCCUGAAGCAGUUGUUGCUUCUUCUUCCGUGUGUUCAGCUAAUGGUGCAGGAGCAGCAUCCAAUGAUCCUAAACAACAAGAAAAGAGGAAAAGUCGCGAAGGAGAAGAAUCAGGGUACCAAAGUGAUGAUUUUGAAGAUGUGUCGGUGGGGUUGAAAAAACCUGCACCAGGACGAGGGACCAGCACAAAGAGAAGUCGCGCUGCAGAAGUACAUAAUUUAUCAGAAAGAAGGCGAAGAGAUAGGAUUAACGAGAAAAUGCGUGCACUACAAGAGCUUAUACCCAACUGCAACAAGGCGGACAAAGCUUCGAUGCUUGAAGAGGCCAUCGAGUAUCUUAAGAUGCUUCAGAUGCAAGUUCAGAUCAUGUCCAUGAAUAGUGGUUUAUGCAUGCCUCCAAUGUUGCUACCUCCAGGUAUGCAGCAUAUGCAUGUGCCAGCCAUGGCUCGUUUCUUGCCAACAGGCGUAGGGAUGGGCAUGGGUAUGGGACUUGGCUAUGGGAUGGGAAUGUAUGACAUGAAUGGCUCCCCCAGUUGCUCAAUGAUCCAUGUGCCGGCCUUUCAUGGACCGCAGUUCCCGUGCCCUUCAAUUCCGGGGCCUCUGGGCUUGCAUGGCAUGCCUGGAUCUGUCAAUCAUCAGAUGUUUGGAGUCCCAGCGCAUGGCUUCCCUUUAUCGAUGCCCCGGCCAUCGUCAUCAGGGAUUUCUGUUAAGGCAAACUCAGUGCCUGAGAUUACAGCACCAAUGACUUGUGCCAUUCCAGCUUCAGAUGCAGCUCCUGCUUCAAUUUCUGAGGAUCAACAGCACCAAAACGUGGAAACGUCACCAAGAUCAAACACCGACAACUCACAGAUUCAGAAUCCUAAUCAGGAAGUGAAGGAACCAUUUUAGCAGUCUUCUUUGGUGAAGAUGAGUAAAAAAAUUCAUCGCAUGCCAAGGAAAAUGGAUUGUUCAACUUUAUCACUGAAAAUGGAAUUAAACAAGGAGUGAAUGCCGAAAUGUUCAGGUACUGUUCAGCAUUUUAAUCAAGUAAAAAAGGUCCUGAAUUUUCUAGUCCUACAGGCUACGGUUGACAAAUAUGCAGCACUGCCUGAUUGAGAUGGGCAGCUCGCAAAAUUUCUCUAAAGGCCCGACUUCUGAAGUCAUCCACCAUGUGAAAAAUCUUGUUUUAAUACAAGACGCUUCAAAAUACCUAGAGAAGGUGUUUAUGCCUCUAUUGGGAGCACGACACAUUCGUCCACCUUGCCACUGCUGUCACUAUCAUCACAAUCAGCGUCACCGCACCUUAUCACCAUGGCAGCACCUCUUUCCUUUGGUUGUCAGUGGGCUUUGAGAUGACCUUCCAAGGUUAGCGUUUCCUGCUUCAAGCAUCUAGCAAGCACAUGCAGCUCAGCGAGCAAGCUAUUGUUGCCACUAAUAUAGUACUUGUCCUGUCACAAUCUUU